UGAUGGGAGUCGAACACUAUAACCAGCCAGAGGUUAUAAACAAAGUCACUGACUACUCCAACUAUGUGUUCAUGAUCAUCAUGAUCACUGAGGUUCUACUGAAACUUGUGGUGUAGUGAAGUUCAUAAAAGACUGCUGGAACCUCCUGGACAUCGUCAUCAUCUUGCUUUCUGUCAUCAGCAUUGUUCUCACCCAGUUAAGGAUGGCAAAAGUCAUUCCU